rnacentral:rRNA from 1 species
UACGUAGGGACCAAGCGUUGUUCGGAUUUACUGGGCGUAAAGGGCGCGUAGGCGGCGCGGUAAGUCACUUGUGAAAUCUCUGAGCUUAACUCAGAACGGCCAAGUGAUACUGCAGUGCUAGAGUGUGGAAGGGGCAAUCGGAAUUCUUGGUGUAGCGGUGAAAUGCGUAGAUAUCAAGCGGAACACCAGUGGCGAAGGCGAGUCCCUGGACAACUCCUGACACUGAGGCACGAAAGCUAGGGGAGCAAACAGG